rnacentral:rRNA from 1 species
AUUGAACGCUGGCGGCAGGCCUAACACAUGCAAGUCGAGCGGAUGAGGGUAGCUUGCUAUCUGAUUCAGCGGCGGACGGGUGAGUAAUGCCUAGGAAUCUGCCUGGUAGUGGGGGACAACGUUUCGAAAGGAACGCUAAUACCGCAUACGUCCUACGGGAGAAAGUGGGGGAUCUUCGGACCUCACGCUAUCAGAUGAGCCUAGGUACGAUUAGCUAGUUGGUGAGGUAAUGGAUCACCAAGGCGACGAUCGUUAACUGGUCUGAGAGGAUGAUCAGUCACACUGGAACUGAUACACGGUCCAGACUCCUACGGGAGGCAGCAGUGUGGAAUAUUGGACAAUGGGCGAAAGCCUAAUCCAGCCAUGCCGCGUGUGUGAAGAAGGUCUUCGGAUUGUAAAGCACUUUAAGUUGGGAGGAAGGGCAGUAAGUUAAUACCUUGCUGUUUUGACGUUACCGACAGAAUAAGCACCGGCUAACUUCGUGCCAGCAGCCGCCGCUGUAA